GUACACGAGCGGCGAACGGGUGAGUAACACGUGGGUGAUCUGCCUUGCACUUCGGGAUAAGCCUGGGAAACUGGGUCUAAUACCGGAUAUGACCAUGGAAUGCAUGUUCUGUGGUGGAAAGAUUUAUCGGUGCGAGAUGGGCCCGCGGCCUAUCAGCUUGUUGGUGAGGUAACGGCUCACCAAGGCGACGACGGGUAGCCGACCUGAGAGGGUGACCGGCCACACUGGGACUGAGACACGGCCCAGACUCCUACGGGAGGCAGCAGUGGGGAAUAUUGCACAAUGGGCGAAAGCCUGAUGCAGCGACGCCGCGUGCGGGAUGACGGCCUUCGGGUUGUAAACCGCUUUUGACAGGGACGAAGCGCAAGUGACUGUACCUGUAGAAUAAGGACCGGCCAACUACGUGCCAGCAGCCGCGGUAAUACGUAGGGUCCGAGCGUUGUCCGGAAUUACUGGGCGUAAAGAGCUUGUAGGCGGUUCGUCGCGUCGUUUGUGAAAACUUGGGGCUCAACCUUAAGCUUGCAGGCGAUACGGGCGGACUAGAGUACUUCAGGGGAGACUGGAAUUCCUGGUGUAGCGGUGAAAUGCGCAGAUAUCAGGAGGAACACCGGUGGCGAAGGCGGGUCUCUGGGAAGUAACUGACGCUGAGAAGCGAAAGCAUGGGUAGCAAACAGGAUUAGAUACCCUGGUAGUCCAUGCCGUAAACGGUGGGUACUAGGUGUG
rnacentral:rRNA from 1 species